AGAUUGAACGCUGGCGGCACGCCUAACACAUGCAAGUCGAGCGGCAGCGCAGUAUGCAGUAAUGCAUAUAGGCGGCGAGCGGCGGACGGGUGAGGAACACGUAGGAACUUAUCCUUGAGAGGGGGACAACCAAGGGAAACUUUGGCUAAUACCGCAUAAACUCGAGAGAGUAAAGUUGCCUUGCACUAGUUGUGAGGUGACGCUGAAGGAGAGGCCUGCGCCCGAUUAGCUAGUUGGAGAGGUAAGAGCUCACCAAGGCGAUGAUCGGUAAC
rnacentral:rRNA from 1 species